CUUCGGAAUGAAGAUGUAGGCGGGAGUGGCGGACGGGUGAGUAACGCGUGAGUAAUCUGCCUCAUACAGGAGAAUAACACUAAGAAAUUGGUGCUAAUACUCCAUAAGCUCACAUUAUGACAUCAUAGAGUGAGAAAAGAUUUAUCGGUAUGAGAGGAGCUCGCGUCUGAUUAGCUAGUUGGUGGGGUAACGGCCUACCAAGGCGACGAUCAGUAGCCGACCUGAGAGGGUGAUCGGCCACAUUGGAACUGAGACACGGUCCAAACUCCUACGGGAGGCAGCAGUGGGGAAUAUUGCACAAUGGGGGAAACCCUGAUGCAGCAACGCCGCGUGAAGGAAGAAGUAUUUCGGUAUGUAAACUUCUAUCGACAGGGAAGAAACAAAUGACGGUACCUGAAUAAGAAGCACCGGCUAAAUACGUGCCAGCAGCCGCGGUAAUACGUAUGGUGCAAGCGUUAUCCGGAUUUACUGGGUGUAAAGGGUGAGUAGGCGGUCAUGCAAGUCAUAUGUGAAAUGUCAGGGCUUAACCUUGGCGCUGCAUAAGAAACUGUAUGACUAGAGUGCAGGAGAGGUAAGCGGAAUUCCUAGUGUAGCGGUGAAAUGCGUAGAUAUUAGGAAGAACACCGGUGGCGAAGGCGGCCUACUGGACUGUUACUGACGCUGAGUCACGAAAGCGUGGGGAGCAAACAGGAUUAGAUACCCUGGUAGUCCACGCCGUAAACGAUGAGUGCUAGGUGUUGGCCAGAGAUGGUCGGUGCCGCA
rnacentral:rRNA from 1 species